ensembl:lncRNA
AUUGAACUCGGCAUCGAAAGCAGCUGAUGAAUUUGAACCUUUUCUUUGCUGAGACAGUCUCUUCAGGGUUGGCACCUGUGAGUAUCAGGUUUGUCUCCACGGCCACAUCCUGUUCAACAAGGUCCUCAGUGACUUCCGUGAGGGUCAUAAUAAUCUCAGGUGGUCAUAGAUCCAGAGAUGCUUCCUCCAUUUCAUCAUCUUCCAUGGCUGCACCGGUGGUGGUCAUACUUGUGGAUGAUGUAGACGUUGUAGAGGUUCUCACUGCACCGGUGGUGGUCAUACUUGUGGAUGAUGUAGACGUUGUAGAGGGUCUCACUGCACCGGUGGUGGUCAUACUUGUGGAUGAUGUAGACGUUGUAGAGGUUCUCACUGCACCGGUGGUGGUCAUACUUGUGGAUGAUGUAGACGUUAUAGAGGGUCUCGCACCGUUUGGUGCUCUGCAGCCAGGGUUUUCAGAUUUCUAGCCUAAUGACCUCUCAAAACUGUCCACAAGGUCUGAAAUCUAGCCCAAUAUCUUUUGGGGCAGAAAGAGAGGAGUUGCCACAUUUAUCCAAUAAACUAUUUUUCCAUAACGUUAUCGAGUGAAUAAAGAAGGAAUAUAGACAUAAUUUGUAAUGACGUAGGCUAAGAAGAUAAAUGUGGUUUUCCAUCAAAAUAAUUAUUAUUUAGAGUUUAAAAAUAUGUCCCAAGAGAAAAUAUAAAAACAUUUUCCAUCAAUGGAUGUCGACUUGUGAUUAAGCAAUAAGGCCCAAGGAGGUGUGGUACGCUAUAGGACCAACAAUGGCUAAGGGCUGUUCUUAGGACACAAUCCUUAGCUGUAGUAUAUUGUAAGAACAGUCCUUAGCCGUGGUAUAUUGGCCAUAUACAACAAAUGGCUAAGGGCUGUUCUUAGGACACAAUCCUUAGCUGUAGUAUAUUGUAAGAACAGUCCUUAGCCGUGGUAUAUUGGCCAUAUACAACAAAUCCCAGAGGUGCCUUAUUGCUUAAUUAUAAACUGGGUGGUUUGAGCCCUGAAUUCUGAUUGGCUGAAAGCUGUGGUAUAUCAGACCUUAUUUUUUUUAACCUUUAUUUAACCAGGCAAGUCAGUUAAGAACACAUUCUUAUUUUCAAUGACGGCCUGGGAACAGUGGGUUAACUGCCUGUUCAGGGGCAGAACGACAGAUUUGUCAGCUCGGGGGUUUGAACUCACAUACCUUCCGGUUACUAGUCCAACGCUCUAACCACUAGGCUACCCUGCCACCCCACCUAUGACACAACGUUUAUUUUUACUGCUGUAAUUAUGUUAGUAACCAGUUUAUAAUAGCAAUACGGCACCUUGGGGUUUGUGAUCUAUGGCCAAUAUACCAUGGCUGAGGUUUGUGCAUAAGAACAGCCCUUUGCCAUGGUGCACCACUCCCUAGCAUUCUUCUCGCCAAUGUCCAGUCUCUUGACAACAAGGUUGAUGAAAUCCGAGCAAGGGUAGCAUUCCAGAGGGACAUCAGAGACUGCAACGUUCUCUGCUUCACGGAAACAUGGCUAACUGGAGAGACGCAAUCCGAAGCGGUGCAGCCAGCGGGUUUCUCCACGCAUCGCGCCGAC